rnacentral:rRNA from 1 species
AUUGAACGCUGGCGGCAUGCCUUACACAUGCAAGUCGAACGGCAGCACGGGCUUCGGUCUGGUGGCGAGUGGCGAACGGGUGAGUAAUGUAUCGGAACGUACCAUUGAGUGGGGGAUAACGUAGCGAAAGUUACGCUAAUACCGCAUAUUCUCUCCGGAGGAAAGCAGGGGACCGCAAGGCCUUGCGCUCUUUGAGCGGCCGAUAUCAGAUUAGCUAGUUGGUGGGGUAAAAGCCCACCAAGGCGACGAUCUGUAGCGGGUCUGAGAGGAUGAUCCGCCACACUGGAACUGAGACACGGUCCAGACUCCUACGGGAGGCAGCAGUGGGGAAUUUUGGACAAUGGGCGCAAGCCUGAUCCAGCCAUGCCGCGUGAGUGAAGAAGGCCUUCGGGUUGUAAAGCUCUUUCGGCCGGGAAAAAAUCGCAUGGAUUAAUACUCUGUGUGGAUGAUGGUACCGGAAUAAGAAGCACCGGCUAACUACGUGCCAGCAGCCGCGGUAAUAC